AGCGAACGCUGGCGGCAGGCUUAACACAUGCAAGUCGAACGGCAGCACAGUAAUUGCUUGCUCUUACGGGUGGCCAGACGCGGACGGGACAGGUAUACAACGGACCCUACUCUUUCGUGGGGCUUAACGUAGCUAAACCUACGCCCAUAUCGCAUCUGCCCUACGGGUGAAAGCAUGGGAACUUCUCGCCUUGCGCGAUUGAACGCGCCGCUGUUGAACUUGCUAGUUGGCGGGGUAAAGGCCCACCAAGUCGGCGAUCCGUAGCUGGUCUGAGAGGAUGAUCAGCCACACUGGAACUGAGACACGGACCAGACGCCUACGAGAGGCAGCAGUGGGGAAUAUUAGGCAAUGGGCGCAGGCCUGAUCCAGCCAUACCGCGUGUGUGAAGAAGGCCUUCGGGUUGUAAAGCCCUUUUGUUGGGAAAGAAAAGCAUCAGGUUAAUACCCCGCUGGACUGACGGUACCCAAAGAAUAAGCACCGGCUAACUACGUG
rnacentral:rRNA from 1 species